rnacentral:misc_RNA from 1 species
GUUUAAAUGUUAAUGUAUCUUUUUUUUCAAAUAGAACUCGACUUCACUAAUCAGUGCUAUUUCAAUUUAUGUUAUAUUUUCAUCUUAACUUUCACUUUACUAGAACACUAAGACUAGAUCUAUCCAAAUCUUUCUUGUUCACUAGCUUCUUUGACCCAUCCUUCCAAUAUGACAAGGAAACCUUCCUAUCUAGCUCUACUUUCCGAAGU